rnacentral:lncRNA from 1 species
CUGGUAAGAAACUGAAUGCCUUUCUCCUGAGAUCAGGAACACAACAAGGAUAUCCUUUCUUGCCACUUCCAUUCAACAUUGCAGUGAAGGUCAUACAAUUCCAGGUUGCUCACAGACCCCCUCUAGGAGAUGUUACUGUCGCUCAUUCGUAUUUCCGGUUCUACUCCUCUUCCGGGCACACUGGAGAAUUACACUUCCUUGCUGACUUGAGAUAAGUCACAGCUUUGGCCAAUGAAGUGUGAAUGGAAGUUUUCAGAACCUUUAAGAGCCUGUACGCAAUUUGCCAUGCUUUCUCUUUUUGCUUUGUCACCAAAACCUCUGUGUUCCAGAUAGUGACUACUCUGUCUGCGUGGGUCCUGGAGAGAGGAGGAUGCAGAGCACAGCACUUAGCCAACCUGCAAUGGACACGUAGAAAACCUCAAGAAAGGCUCUGGCCUAGACUUGCCCCUUGUUCCUGUCUUCUGGCUCUUGACUGACACUGGUGCUUUCCCCCUGUGGUCCUGCAUGGUGUGUGGUGACUACCUCAUUGGGCCCUAAAACUUCUAAAAUCAUCAGGAGAUAUCACUGAAAAGGUUUCAAAACAAAGCCAUAAUCUCUAGAAAUGUGUCCUUGAUGGGUUGGUCUUCAUUUGCCUGAAGACUGAUCAUUCUAAGGAGGAUUUUGUGCUGCUCUUGUUUUGCUGCUGGGCCUAUCCUGUUUCCAUUCCCAAAUCAAGUAUUCCUGGAAUUUAAGGUAUCACUUUACCAGCCUGACCACAAGUUCCCCAUUGUUUCCUCUGCUCUGCUCAUGACCUGGAAUAAUGCCUCUCCCUGGAUACUAAAUUUACUGACCCUGCCUAGGACCGAGAAGAUUGAUGAGUCCUCAACCCGUGCAUGUCUUCAAAAAGCUCCACCACCAGAUAAGCACAACUGAGCGAAUGACACCAACCAGUGCCAAGAGAAGCAGGACUACCCAACUACACUUUGCCUAAAUUCCUGAUUCACAGAAUUAUAAGCAAAUAAAAUGAUUGUUUAAAGCACUAAGUUUUGGGUUCAUUUGUUAUGCGGCAAUAAAGAAUCAAAACACCUGGAACCCAGUUCCCUUCUCUUUUAUUACCCACAUGGUCUCUCUCCUGUAGUGUCGCUGUUUUUCCUGACUAGCUUUCUCAUCCUGCUGUUACACCCUUACUAGGAAUUUCUCUCAGCAAUAUCCAGUUAAAAUUCCGGAAGGGAAUAGGCUGGUUGGCUUUGCUCAUUGUCUCACUUUUCUUGGGCAGAACCUUUUGUACCAAUCCAUUUCAUCAGCAUUUUUAUGGGUGAAUCUUAGUUGACCAGGUACCGACUCUCGUCAAAUUACUGUCUGACUCUACACAAGAAAUAUACAAAGAGCCUGGUGCUGCUUUCCUGAGCAGGACAGUUCAUAGGGACAUUGAGCAUGGUUGGCAUCUAACCUGGUUAUUCUGAAGAUUUCAUGAUUAAAUCCUCAGUCCUAUGAAUUAACCAAUUGUCCAGUGUUAAAAUACAGACACCCCCUGCACACAUGAAACUGCUCAUCAAUUGUUUAAACUUUAACAUAUGUAAAAGGUGUCCAGUAGGAGCUAGCUGAAUCUGAGCAUUAAUGCUGGAAAAGGAGGAGGAGGCCUGAGAUCUUUGGCUGCUUGGUAGAGUAAAGGUGGUAGAAAGAAGUCAACAAGAACUUAAAGGAAAGAUCAAAGGACAGUGAAAGAACAUUUUUCCUAGUUUUGCCUAGAGCAGGCUUUUGAUUAAAGGUAGAGUGCUGACUCUCUAAAGAUAGAUAUCUAAAAGGAUUCUUCUAGAUACAUGAGAGCACAGGAAAGAUUGUGCAAGGGCAUAAAUAUGAGCAUACUAUAGUGAUUAAGACCAUGUGACAUUAAAGGAAGAGGAAGAUGGAAAAAAAGGUACAUGAAGAAUAUAAACAAGAGGUUGGUGCCUAGAAAAAGAGGAAGAUAGUAGAAAGUUUGGGAAGUAUAGAAAGUAUAAGAUCCUUUAGGAGUUGUUCUUUAUAUACUACUAUUUGCUAAACUUCAAUGUUUAAAAUUCAGCAUUUGUAGAGCAAGCGUAGGUAUACAGCUAUUAUUAAAUUCUAAUAUGUAAUGGUCUGUAUACUUCCAGAAGCUUUCAGAGUUUUGAAUUGAUAUUCCAUUAUAAAUUUUUUAGGAAUUCACCAUUUGUAAUGCACAUGUCUAGUGAUAAUUCUUUCCCUCAGCCCCACCCCCCAGAUCUUUAUAUGUCUGGUAAUUUCUCAUCAUUCAGGCUUUCGUUGAAACGGAAAUGCCUCAGAAAGCCUUUUGCUUUCUUAACCAUCCUUGGCAAGAAGAAUUCCAUGAUGGACCCUCCAGGUUCCUAGCCUUGAUAUACACACAUCUCUCAGUUAUUCAGUAAAACACACUAAUGUAGCUAUUGCUGUAAAGGAAGUAUGGAGAUGAAAUCAAGGUCCCAAAUCUAUUGACCUUUAAAUAAAGAGAUUAACCGGGUGGAACUGACCAAGUCAUAUGAGCCCUUUAAAAUAAAUUUUCUCAACCACAGUGAGAUACGACCUCAUAGCUGUUACAACGGCUAUAUCAAAGAGACAAGAGAGGCUGGGCAUGGUGGCUCACGCCUAUAAUCCCUGCACUUUGGGAGGCAGAGGAGGGUGGGUUACUUGAGGUCAGGUGUUUGAGACCAGCCUGGCCAACAGGCUGAAAGCCCGUCUCUACUAAAAAUACAAAAAUUAACCUGGCAUGGUGGAGGGCAUCUGUAAUCCCAGCAACUCAGCUGAGGCAGAAUAAUUGCUUAAACCCAAGAGAUGGAUGUUGCAGUGAGCCAAAACCACACCACAGCCCUUCAGCCUGGGCAACAGAGUGAGACUCCAUCUUAAAAAAAAAAAAAACAAGAGAUAACAAGUUCAGCUAAUUUAAUGUAUAGCAUGCCAAUUAUAAUUAAUAACAAUGUAACAUACACUUGGAAAUUGCUAAAAGAGUCGAUUUCAAUGUCCUCACCCCAAACAAAUAAUAUGUGAGGUAGUAGAUAUGUUAAUUAGCUUGAUUUUGUCAUUUCACAAUGUGUACAUAUAUCAAAAUAUAUUGUACACCAUAAAUAUAUACAAUUUUUAUUUAUUCAUUUAAAAAUAAGUAAAAAUAAAAAUGGGGCUUAUACUUUAAGAAAUUGAUUUUGGCCAGGCACAGUGGCUCACGCCUGUAAUCCCAGCACUUUGGGAGGCCGAGGUGGGUGGAUCACCUGAGGUCUGGAGUUCGAGACCAGCUUAGCCAACAUGGUGAAACCCCAUCUCUGAUGAAAAUAUAAAAAAUGAGCUGGGUGUGGUGGAAGGCUCCUAUAAUCCCAGCUACCUGAGAGGCUGAGGCAGGAGAAUCACUUGAAGCGGGGUGGUGGAGGUUGCAGUGAGUCGAGAUCGCAUCAUUGCACGCCAGCCUGGGCAACAGGAGCAAAACUCUGCUCAAAAAAAGAAAAAAGAAAAAAGAAAAAAAAAAACUUGAUUUUAUCUGGCUGUUUGAAGAAGUCAGAGAUGUGAAGUUUGUGACGGUUAUCACAUGCCAUUGCUGACAAAGAUGGAGGAAUUCAAGGAAUGUGGCAGGCUACUGGAGCCCAGGGUAGCCCUUGGCUAACAGCCAGCAAGGAGCAAGGAUCUCAGUCCUACAACUACAAGGAACUGGAUUCUGCCAGUAACAGCAAUGAGCUUGGAAGCAGAGUUUUUAUUUCAGCCUUGUGAGACCCUGAGCAGAGAACCCAGCAAUACCAUGCCAGACUUCUGAUCUACAAAGCAGUAUAUAAUAAAUGAGUGUUUUUUAAAUGGCUGAGUUCAUGAUAAUUUGUUACAUAGCAACAGAAAACUAAUUUACCAUCCUAAUCUAAAAUAAGACCCCAUAAUCACACUCCAGUCAUUAUUAUACAUUAGUUUGUUUUUCUUUCUUCAAAAAUAUAUAUAAUAAUUUAUGUAUUAUAUAUAAAACAUAAAAUUAAUAUUUAUUUGCUUGCUUGCUUGCUAAAUAUCUCUUCCCUAAUAUUAUAUUAGACAAUAAGCUUAGUGAGGGAACGUAAAAGGUACCCAAUCAAUAUUUACUUAAAAAAAGAUAAAUGCCUACAUUUAAACAAAUAUUUUUCAAAAAAAGGUUAAUCAAAUCUCAGAGAUACCAUCCCCCCCAAAAAAUUUUUUAAAUAUGUCUUCUAGGCCAGGCGCAGUGGCUCACACCUGUAAUCCCAGCACUUGGGGAGGCUGAGGUGGAAGGACUGCCUGAGUCCAGGAGUUCAAGACCAACCUAGGCAACAUGUUGAGACUCCAUCUCAUAAAAUAAAUUUGUUUUUUAAAGUGUCUUCUGGCCGGGCGCGGUGGCUUACGCCUGUAAUCCCAGCACUUUGGGAGGCCGAGGCGGGCG